ACGGGUGAGUAAUGCCUAGGAAUCUGCCUGGUAGUGGGGGACAACGUUUCGAAAGGAACGCUAAUACCGCAUACGUCCUACGGGAGAAAGCAGGGGACCUUCGGGCCUUGCGCUAUCAGAUGAGCCUAGGUCGGAUUAGCUAGUUGGUGAGGUAAUGGCUCACCAAGGCGACGAUCCGUAACUGGUCUGAGAGGAUGAUCAGUCACACUGGAACUGAGACACGGUCCAGACUCCUACGGGAGGCAGCAGUGGGGAAUAUUGGACAAUGGGCGAAAGCCUGAUCCAGCCAUGCCGCGUGUGUGAAGAAGGUCUUCGGAUUGUAAAGCACUUUAAGUUGGGAGGAAGGGCAUUAACCUAAUACGUUAGUGUUUUGACGUUACCAACAGAAUAAGCACCGGCUAACUCUGUGCCAGCAGCCGCGGUAAUACAGAGGGUGCAAGCGUUAAUCGGAAUUACUGGGCGUAAAGCGCGCGUAGGUGGUUCGUUAAGUUGGAUGUGAAAUCCCCGGGCUCAACCUGGGAACUGCAUCCAAAACUGGCGAGCUAGAGUAGGGCAGAGGGUGGUGGAAUUUCCUGUGUAGCGGUG
rnacentral:rRNA from 2 species